CAGUAGUAUGAAAAUUCUUUUCUGGAGAAAGAUGAAUAAUGUCAAGAAGAAGUGUUGGGAAGCAUGUGUUGGAGAAAGUCCGGGUGGUGUACACAGGUCCCUAACAUCCAGAAGAAAGAAGGCACUUUUAAAAUAUACGUUGGAGAGGGAAGUGGAGUCAAGCAAAGCCAGCAGAGGAAGAAGGAGAUCCAGCUUCUCCCAAUCCACCCUGCCCAGUGUGAAAGCAGAGGAGCAUGAAGUCAGACAUUUCUGAGGAAGCUGUCCUUUUACACCUGCGGAGAAGAGUGGGAGACACAGCAUCACAGAUGUCAUCAAUCAGGAAUUGGUUUUUAAGGUUCAAGGUGGAAGGCCUCAUCUUCUGUAACUUCCUCCUGCUGAAUAAGGGCAUAGAAAGGGGAGGCAGCUGAAUCCAAAGCAGUCAACGUAUUUGAACCUCCUUGAGUAAAAGGGAUAUCUAUCAGCUGGAAGUUAUGGCAGUGAAAGAGUCUUGACACUGGGAAGGGAGACACCAGAAAGGACAACAGAAUAAGGUUAGUAUUGUAAUGAGAAAGAGAAAUCUGAGUAAAAGUCCUUUGAUAGUUGAACUUUGAUAAUUUUCCUCCAGUCCGGGAGUUUAAAGCAGUCACCAAAGAGAUCAUUUAAAGCACCAAUUUGAGUAUUCAUGUCAGUUAGAAACCCAGAAGUAUUUUGUAGUAACCUAGACUGUAUA